rnacentral:rRNA from 1 species
GACGAACGCUGGCGGCGUGCCUAAUACAUGCAAGUUGAGCGCUGAAGGUUGGUACUUGUACCGACUGGAUGAGCAGCGAACGGGUGAGUAACGCGUGGGGAAUCUGCCUUUGAGCGGGGGACAACAUUUGGAAACGAAUGCUAACACCGCCUAAAAACUUUAAACACAAGUUUUAAGUUUGAAAGAUGCAAUUGCAUCACUCAAAGAUGAUCCCGCGUUGUAUUAGCUAGUUGGUGAGGUAAAGGCUCACCAAGGCGAUGAUACAUAGCCGACCUGAGAGGGUGAUCGGCCACAUUGGGACUGAGACACGGCCCAAACUCCUACGGGAGGCAGCAGUAGGGAAUCUUCGGCAAUGGACGAAAGUCUGACCGAGCAACGCCGCGUGAGUGAAGAAGGUUUUCGGAUCGUAAAACUCUGUUGGUAGAGAAGAACGUUGGUGAGAGUGGAAAGCUCAUCAAGUGACGGUAACUACCCAGAAAGGGACGGCUAACUACGUGCCAGCAGCCGCAGUAA